CCCUUAGAUGUUCUGGGCCGCACGCGCGCUACACUGACGAAUUCAACGAGUUUAUAACCUUUGCUGGGAGGCAUGGGUAAUCUUGUGAACGUUCGUCGUGAUGGGGAUAGAUUAUUGCAAUUGUUAAUCUUCAACGAGGAAUUCCUAGUAAACGCAAGUCAUCAGCUUGCAUUGAUUACGUCCCUGCCCUUUGUACACACCGCCCGUCGCACCUACCGAUUGAAUGGUCCGGUGAAUUCUUCGGACUGCGGCUUUGACUCGAUUUCGGUCGAGGCGUUGCUGCGGGAAGUUGAUUAAACCUUACCAUUUAGAGGAAGGUGAAGUCGCAACA
rnacentral:rRNA from 1 species